AACGAACGCUGGCGGCAUGCCUAACACAUGCAAGUCGAACGGGAUCCAGGCUUCGGCCUGGUGAGAGUGGCGGACGGGUGAGUAACACGUGGGAACCUGCCUUUUGGUUCGGGAUAACCGCGGGAAACUGCGGCUAAUACCGGAUGCUCCCGAGAGGGGAAAGAUUUAUCGCCAGAAGAGGGGCCCGCGUCCGAUUAGGUAGUUGGUGAGGUAAUGGCUCACCAAGCCGACGAUCGGUAGCUGGUCUGAGAGGAUGAUCAGCCACACUGGGACUGAGAUACAGCCCAGACUCCUACGGGAGGCAGCAGUGGGGAAUAUUGGACAAUGGGGGCAACCCUGAUCCAGCAAUGCCGCGUGAGUGAUGAAGGCCUUAGGGUUGUAAAGCUCUUUUGCCAGGGAAGAUGAUGACUGUACCUGGAGAAUAAGCCCCGGCUAACUUCGUG
rnacentral:rRNA from 1 species